GACGAACCGUGCGAACGUUGUUCGGAAUCACUGGGCUUAAAGGGCGCGUAGGCGGGCGAUCGAGUCAGGGGUGAAAGCCCACGGCCCAACCGUGGAAGUGCCUUUGAUACCGAUCGUCUCGAGGGAGGUAGGGGCAUGUGGAACUUCCGGUGGAGCGGUGAAAUGCGUAGAUAUCAGAAGGAACACCAAUGGCGAAGGCAGAUCUCUGGGCCGUAACUGACGCUGAGGAGCGAAAGCAUGGGGAGCGAACAGG
rnacentral:rRNA from 1 species